GCAGAUGGUUUGACUCAUGUGUUUGAGUCUUGCUUUGCACAGUUGAUCAUUUGUUUUGUCUGUGAAUCCCAUUCCUCUUGCUUUUAACUGUUGAACUGUUUACUAAUUGGUUUGACUUUUUCAGGUACACUUUAGUUGCUUUAGUUGCUUGCGUUGCUAUUUAGCAAUUGCUUUUGAGGUAUAAUCUCUUUUACUUCAUGUAGUCUGGAGUCCCGGUCUGUUAUUUUGACCGGGCAAACUGUCUGAAGUCCUCCUUAAGAGGCAAU
rnacentral:lncRNA from 1 species